rnacentral:lncRNA from 1 species
CCUCCUUAUCCCAACGCCCGUCGCGUUUUGCAGUGCGGCAGCACCCUCUUCUGUCAAUCCCUAUGUGGUCGAAGCCGCCGGUGCUUGCAAUGUCAGGCAGCAGCACCAAGAGCUAUGCCACAGAAUCCUCAGCACUUUGCAAACGAGGAAAUGAAAACAAAGGAAGGGAGAAAUUAAAAAGCCCGGCAGAAAGGAUAAAACUGGGGACAUCUGAUCUGGAAUGCUACCAUUACGGUGCUCUCGUGACAUUCGUACUGCAGUACUGACUUGGGAGGCUGCCCUACUUCAGUGACCUAGCAUUGUCUGUUAGAGAAAGCUCAUGGAAGGCUCUGCUGAACCCUGUGCUGUGUGUGAUGAUCUAGAGGAGGCUGUGCAGUUCCGCUCUUUGCCUGGAAAGUCACAGGGUUCCUUCUGUACUGCCUCAACAGCAGAACUCUGUGGUACUGUGAGGUACUGCAAGAAUUUCCAGCCCUUCCAGGAAUGGGGUAACUGCCUGUAAUUUCAUGCAGUCAGCACAGAGGUCCCAACGGCCCCAACUCACAGCUUGCACCGCAGGAUACAACGUGUUGUUGCUGCUGUCUGGAUUUGAGAUGCUUUGAGCCAAGCAGGAAAAUGAAACUGUUCCAAAAGGCAGCAAAAACAACAACAACAACAAAAAAAGAAAGUGACUUAAAUUCUAAGCCUGUGCCUUGGGAUCAAGGAAGUUUACUAGACAGGUUUUAAACUGCACAUUUCUGUGGUCCUUCAAAAAUGCAUCCUGACUGGAAUGUGAAACAGGAGAAUUGAGUGGUGAAAUUGGGGCCACAUAUUUUCUGCGCUUCGGUUUAUUGACACAGAAGACAGUGGUGAUUUGUAGCCUGAUGAGAACUAACAGUCCCACCAGUGAGGUCUGCGAGUUGGAUCUGCUCCUAGGAAGCAAAGGAGCGAUGUCCUGCUGGGCAUGCUCCCACUAACAGCCUCUGAAUUCUAUCCAGACCUACCUCCAGAUGGCAUAAUUAUUCCAACAACAGAAGAUGAAGACCAUAAGCAGCAGGGACUGACUAAUACCUACAGGGCUUGCUUCUCAUUAUAUUUGUGGAUGAAGUAACGGAGUAAGCAUGAGAAAUCCUUAGAAGUGUCUGCCUCCCUAGAACUGCUUUAACAUAGCAACUGGUGGAGGUACAGACUUCUUACUUUUGCCAAGUAGUUACAGCAGCAGAAGAUAAUGUGUGAUUUGUACACGGUGCUCAGCAUCACUGAGAAAUACCCAGGGCAGAUGGAUAUCUGAACACGUGCUCUUUACUGUCAUAGAGAAUGCAGUAUUGUUAAUUUCCUUGGAUAAACAGAAAAAAAAAACAAAGGAGAUGAAGAUAUCUGGUAAUCUCAUUGUUGUCUUUCUUAAUAUUCUAGUGACAGGUUUCAUUCCUUAUUGAUAGCCUCUAGAGCACAUAGACAAUACUGUGGAGUUCAAAAGCUGCUCCAUUAAUAGCAUUUGAUUAGUGUUAUAUCUGAGGGACCACAAAGCUGCUUGGGUGUCCUCAUUACAGUAAUGUUCUUUUUCUCUUGGCAUACAAAAGCUCUGCCUGUGUUAUAUCAGAGGAAUAUUUGGACACAGAGCGUCUAAGAGAAGUUACG